CCCGACUCCUACGGCAGGCAGCAGUGGGGAAUAUUGCACGAUGGGCGCAAGCCUGAUGCACCCAUGCCGCGUGUAUGAAGAAGGGCUUCGGGUUGUAAACUGCUUUUGUACGGAACGAAACGGCCUUUUUAAUAGAGGGCUAUGACGGUACCGUAAGAAUAAGCACCGGCUAACUACGUGCCAGCAGCCGCGGUAAUACGUAGGGUGCAAGCGUUAAUCGGAAUUACUGGGCGUAAAGCGUGCGCAGGCGGUGAUGUAAGACAGUUGUGAAAUCCCCGGGCUCAACCUGGGAACUGCAUCUGUGACUGCAUCGCUGGAGUACCGCAGACGUGGAUGGAAUUCCGCGUGUAGCAAUGACAUGCGUAU
rnacentral:rRNA from 1 species